rnacentral:lncRNA from 10 species
GUUGUCUUGGUGCUCAUAAAGGAAGCCCUUCCUUCUAUGUUCCAAUCUCCAAACCUGAAGCUUCUACAGUCCAUACAUUCCUAUGUAAAUAGACAAGUAAUACAAGGCUUCUCUCUCUCAGCCAGAUCUGCAAGAACAGAAGUAGAUUUUCUAGCAAUGCCAGUAAAACUGGAUAAUCCAAAUUCAUCAAGUGGGCCUUCCAAGAUGAUAGACAGCAGGAGGAUGCUGCCAAGGACUCUCCAAGGUCUCUUGUUUUAGGAGUUCUGAAGGCAUGGUUACACAGCCAUGUGGCCUGCGUGCCCUUCUACUGCUGCUCAAAUACUGCCUCCUAAUACCAUCUCCAACAAACCCAGGCAGGUACUGCUCUCUUGCUGGAGCUGCCAUGUCUUUUCUACAAACCUCUACUAUGAUAUUUUACCAUUCAUUAAUGUAUCUGGCUCCCCUACCAGGUUAUGAGUUCAAAUCAAAGAUCCUGCUUAAUUUAUCUUUGUAAUUUAUUCUUCUGUCUUUCAAAGAGGCUAUGCAGCACAUGCCUUGCUGAGAGAAAGCAAGUGCUUCUACCCUAGCUGGUUUAGUAUCAUCACACUGUACAGGAAUAGGCAAGGGCUGUUUCCAGUUGCAGGCAGGAAGAAUAAACACUGAUUAGCAAGCCCUCUCGACAAUUAGUGGCAAAAGAAAGAUGAUGGCUGAGGAGCCCCAAUGCCCAGCCUGGGACCUCACCUAUUUCACAAACUGCCUCUCAUGCUAACACUACCAAGCUUUAAGUAGGAAAAGAAAUGACCAUCAACUGGGUUAGAUUAGUCCCCUUUUGAACAGAUUUUGUUCCCCGAAGGAAAAAUAUCCAAAAAGGAAGGGAAGGAGUCAAGAUUAUCCCAAAUGGAAAUUUCUAGAGCAAAGCUUCUAAAAUCGCCCUUCUCUAGAAAACAUUUUUUAUUCUACAAAGGGGUUAAGAAGCUUUUUAACUUUUACUGGUUUUACUUUUCGGUAUUAAGGAAUUAAACAGAACAGAUACGUAACUGUUGGCAUUUUCUUGUGUCUGUUAAGUGUCUCCAAGGCUCUAAUUCACAGGUACAUGUGGUAUUCACAAUGAGAUGGGGUAUUUAUAAACCAGUGGUGACUUAUUAGCACUCAUUAGUUUUGUAUAUGGAAAAUAACAUAUUUAAGGCUCGGUCAACGAUACGUUUCUGGCUUGGGCCUAUUCUUUCUUUCUUUUUUGAGACAGGGUCUCACUCUGUCACCCAGGCUGGAGUGCAGUGGCGUGAUCUUGGCUCACUGCAACCUCCACCUCCUAGGUUCAAGUGAUUUUCAUGUGUCAGCCUCACGAGUAGCUGAGAUUACAGGCGUGUGCCAUCAUUCCCGGCUAAUUUUUGGCCUUUAAAGUAGAAACAGGGUUUCACCAUGUUGGCCAGGCUGGUCUCAAACUGGCCUCUAGUGAUCCACCUGCCUAGGCCCCGCAAAGUGCUGGGAUUACAGGCGUGAGCCACUGUGCCUGACUGGGACUAUUCUUUAGAUUCUCUGAUGUCUUUGCUUCUCCUCAGUUCUCUCUCCUAAAUAAAGCUUAAACAAACAAACACACCCAAACAGCCCUCCAUCUUCAUUGGCAUCUUUGUUAUACGUAAUCAAGCAAUAUUGCCUUUUUACUCUCCUUCUGGCUAGGAUGUCUUUUGAGCAUCAGAUUAUUUCUCUCUUCCAAAGUACUAUUUAUCAUAGGAAGUUCGGAAUAAAUCCAAAUAUAUACAAGGCAUUUAGCAUAUGAUAAAAGUAGCAUCUUAAAUCAGGGGUGUAAAAAAGGAAAUAAUUGCCACUGGGACCACUGGAUAGCCAUUUAGGAAAAAAAGAUCAUUCUUUCAUACCAUACAACAAGAGGAGCUCUCAACAAAUAAGAAAAAAUCAUGUAUAAAAUAUGUAACUGUAAAAAUACUCAGAAAAUAACAGGUAAAUUUCUUUAUAACCUUCGAGUAGGGAAGGGCUUUCUACCUAUAACUCAAAAUCUAGAAGCCAUAAAAGGCAAGACUGAUUAAUUUGAUUAUGUAAAAACAAACUUCCACAUGGUGGAAAAAACCCCACAAAACACGGUCCAAUGACAAACUGGAGAAAAUAUUUCAACUCUUAAUCACAGAUGAAAGGCUACUCUCCCUAGUAUGUAAAGAAAUUGAGAAGCUCAAUGACCCUACAGAAUAAUGGGUAAAGGACAUAAAGAGACACUUCAUAAGAAAAUCAAAUGGUCUAUAACAUUAAGAAAAGAUGUUCUGACCUCAGAACAUCUUUUUAUGUCAUCAUAAGCAGACACAGAUACCACCUUUAACCUAUCAGAUCAGGAGAAAUCCACAAGUUUACAACAUACUCUGGGAAAACAGGCACUCCUCUCCAUCACUGGUAGAUGAUAAAAUGCCACUACCCUGAUGGAGAAGAGUUUGGCAAUGUCUACCAAAAUUACUGACUUGGACUCAGUGUUCCCAGUUCAGGAAAAUAUCCUACAGACAUACCCACACAUGCAAACAGGCAGAAAGGGCCCUCAAAAUACAUCUUUACAACUGCCUAAGAGGCAGGUGCUUGUGUCUUUGUCCCUGAACAUAUAAAAACCAGUGGUUUCCACUUAACUUUUCCUGGUUAUUUAGUUACUAACUUGACUUUAAAAUCUUAGAAUAUGAAAAGAAUUCUAGUUCACCAUAAGCUAAUCUCCAAAAGCAUAAUUACUGGUCCUAUUGCUUUUCAUGGAAUAAGCAUUGAAAUGAUGGCUUCUAUCAGACAUUCUCCAGUACUCAGCUGAUAUGCCCAUACCACUAGUGUGGAGGAAUACACUUCCUGUCUUUUUCUGAGAGGUAGAAAGCAUCCCUCAGAGCCUGCUUGCCAAAUGACAAAAGCAAGACUUGAAUUCUGAUCAGGCUGGAUGUGCAUGCUGGAAGGGAAAGGCCACAAAGGCUGGCAACAAGUAGACUAGUGACCAUGAGGAACUUCAAAUAGUGUUCUCAGGGUACAACUUUCUGUGCCAGGUGUCCCUCAUUCUUUUUCCGAGAAAUUUACAAUUCCAGGCCUAGGAAAAAGUUCUAUUUAUUUUUUGGGAAAAUCCAGCAAAAGUCCAGUUUCCGAUUGUCAUUUCCAACAAAUUACCUAAGCCUCUGAAUUUGGAAAGGGUGGCAGGGCAGAUGACUUCCUGAGUCUAGCUAGCACUGCACCAGGCCAGUUACUAUCCAGAGAUCCUGUUAGUGCCAAAAUGCAAAAGAGGCUUUGUCUUUCCUUUUAGGUAAGUGCCCUACCACAGGUACCCUGAAGGAGGCAUUUAAAUCAUAUGCCAAAAAAGAAUACACAAAAUUCUCCUAAGGAACAAAUCUCCGGUACACUCUCCAAGAUAAGAUCUGUUUAAAGUAUAAAAAUAAGUUGUUUCCUGGAAUAAAAUGGAAUAAGAUUGGUAAAAAACCAGCCAAAUCUAAAUAUAUACUUCAGAGCUUUUAAAAUUAGUUUUGUUACUCUGGAUUUAGCCCAAUUUCUGAGCUACUGCAUUUAAUUCCCCUGUCAAUUCUGCAUAAAAACACAUGAAAUGCCUCUCUAGAGGCUUACUUUUAGGACCCAAGAGAUACAUGUAUAUUUAUAUAUUCCUUCAUCAAGUUCAGCACUAGCAAAUGCUGAAGUGUCAAUAUUCCAAUUUUUCUGUAUAGUGACUCCCAAACUAGUUUCUGAUUAAUUAGCCAAAAUACAAAAGCCACUAGGGAUGGAGCAGUUGAGAAUAUCACUUUUGAAGAUUUUCCUAGCCACUUAGAAGGCUAUGCAAAGUAUCUUUACUGUUAAGCACAGCUGUCUUUCAACUCUAUUUGGCAAAAGAGAUUCUGCUUCAGAAUUUAAAAAUCUUUACCACCCUGCCAAGGAACAGAAUGAAGGUAGUAACGUUUUCAAAAAAUUUUACCAUUGUACUAGAUUUUGAAUGCUGAGCCAUCUCAGAAGAAACCAGCCUGAAUGUCACUUGACCAAUGAACUCUCAUGUCCAUCCUAGAGGCAGCAACUAACUGGCCAGCAGACUGGUACACAAUGACCUGAAUGCAACUACACCAAAAAUCCAAUUACAAAAUGCCCUGCUAACUCUCAGGACUCUCUUUUUUUUUGAGUCGGAGUUUCGCUCUUUUUGCCCAGGCUGGAGUGCAAUGGUGCAAUCUUGGCUCACUGCAACCUCUGCCUCCCAGGUUCAAGAGAUUCUCCUGCCUCAGCCUCCCAAGCAGCUGGGAUUACAGGCAUGCGCCACCAGGCCUGGCUAAUUUUGUACUUUUAGUAGAGACGGGGUUUCUCCAUGUUGGUCAUGCUGGUCUUGAACUCC